UUUUCAAAUGAAAGCUCAUGAUCCAUGAAUAGACAAGAAACCAUUAUCUCACACUUGUUUAAGUGGUCUAAUUAAAUUCUAUAUAUUUAGAUAUUAAAACAUAAUUAUAUAAAGUAAUAUUAUUAGAAACGUGAUUUUGAGCACUUCUUGCAAUAAAAGUGCUCUUAGAUGGGGUAUAUGCAGACUAAGAGCACCAUUAACCCUAGCACUCCAAAUGGGGUGUUUAAUUUUUUUUUUUUUUUUUUUUAAGUUUUUUGUCUGAUUUAAAAUAAAAAAUUUAAAAACGAAUCAAUCGCGUACCGUCACAUGUUAGUGGAACCCGCGAAACAGUGAAAGUACUGAAAAACAUGGCGCUUAAUUUGGACUCAAA
rnacentral:lncRNA from 1 species